rnacentral:rRNA from 1 species
UACGUAGGGGGCUAGCGUUGUCCGGAUUUAUUGGGCGUAAAGAGCGUGUAGGCGGCCAGGUAGGUCUGGUGUGAAAACUCGAGGCUUAACCUUGAGAUGUCAUCGGAAACCAUUUGGCUAGAGUCCGGAAGAGGAAAGUGGAAUUCCUGGUGUAGCGGUGAAAUGCGCAGAUAUCAGGAAGAACACCAAGGGCGAAAGCAGCUUUCUGGGACGGUACUGACGCUGAGACGCGAAGCGUGGGGAGCGAACAGG